GUGGCUGUGGCUCAGUGGUAGAGUGCUUGCCUAGCAUGUGCAAGGCACUGGGUUUGAUUCUCAGCACCACA
rnacentral:tRNA from 1 species